rnacentral:lncRNA from 1 species
GGAGGGCUGCUGAGUCCUAGACCAGGGUGGUGACCAUAGCAUGAAGGCAAGGGAAGCUGGUGCAAGGGAGAGUUUAUCAGCUGUGAAUACGUGUCUGCAAGACCUGCCAGACUGAGCUCAUGUCAGUGGCUCCAGAAGGAAAGUAAGCCAGUUGGCGGUGAGAAGCGGGCUGCUUGCAUUACUUUGGGGACACAGUGUAAAAAGAAGAUAUGAGACUCCUUAUAAAUAUUAAGAUCUCCAGUUCUGUGGAGAUAGGUCAGUGGUUAAGGACAAAACAAGAACAGAGAACAGAGCCCCAGAACCCUUGUAAAUGCCAAAUGGGCAGGAAGUCCCCUAGUAGUGCCAGCCUCAGAAGGAAAAGACAGCUGGCUCGUAAAAUUAGCCAUAUCUGUAAGCUCUGGGUUUGGUUGGGAGAUCCUGACUCAACAAAUAGGGUGGAAAAGAUAUUGAGAAGGAUGACUGACAUCAACGUCAAGCCUCCACAUGUAUGCAGACCCACAUACAUGUAUGUCCACACAUGCAAAACAUACAUGUACAUACAUGUACUUCUCUCUUUAUCUAUCUAUCUCUAUCUAUCUCAUACACAGAAGACAGAUACACACACACACAUACACACACGAAUGGAAAAAUCAAAAACAACAUUAAAACUUCCAAGAGGGCAGCAAUUCGCAGGGUGUCCCCUGGCACAGGACUAAGCACCUGCAUAGGUCACAUGAUUGCCCCGGUAGCUGGCCGUGCCUCUGUAGUACCGUCCUAUCUCCAACGCCAUGAGCUAGGUAUGGACAAGUAGUGGCACCCAGGAGCUAACCCCACAAGCUUCAGUUCUUCUUCUCAGUGUGUGUGUGUGUGUGUGUGUGUGUGUACAUAUGAAUUAACUAGGUUGAAGACCCAUCUAUGCUGGAUAGAAAAAGAUGGGUUCUAGCAUAAGUAGGGCAGAGAAGAUAAAUCCUUAGCCUAAAUGAACUGUGAUGAACUGCGAAUGCUGAGGGGUGCUUCCGUGGGGAGCCAGGGUGGACAAAUUGAAUUCAUGGAGAAGCAUCUGGCAGAGCAUUCCAGACGAGGCUGUCUGGAAGAUUGAUGGGGUCUCAGUGUUUAUAAGAGUUUCUUCCCCUGCACUGUACUGCUGAGUGAAGGUAAGGAUUGACAGGUGCCUGUCCCUAUGAAUAAAAGAUGCAGAAGGACCCAGGAGGCCCUAGUGCACCGUGCAUUAGAAAGCCCCACCCACUCUAACUCACACCCAGAAUCCUGGCCAGUGAGACACUUGCUGCUGUGUCGUCAAUACCACCCACCAACAGAAGGGGCUUUUCUUAUGCAAAUCCAUCUAGGCACAGGGCCACCUCAGUGUGUCACCAGAGGACACUGCUGCAGUCUGAGGUUCUCAGCCAAGCACUUGUGUCUGUGACAUCCCGAGUCUCCACCCAUCAGAAUCCCCAGGCUCAGAAUUCCAUCAGAGUCACUUUACAAAUGCUGUCAGGUCGCCUGGGUGGAUCACUGAGAACAUUGUGUGGUGCCAUCAUGACUGUGUCUGACUGUACCGUCUGAAUCUUUCCUACCAGGAUCCCGAGGACACGGGGCAUAUUAGAUUUGAAAUGAAGCUGAAGAGGCAGGCGUAGCUCAGUGAUAAAGUGGCUCAAGGAUAAAGCGUUUGCCUUGUGUCUGGAGGCCCUGGGCUCCACACCCCUCUCACC